rnacentral:rRNA from 1 species
GGUCAGAUUGAACGCUGGCGGCAGGCCUAACACAUGCAAGUCGAGCGGAUGAGUGGAGCUUGCUCCAUGAUUCAGCGGCGGACGGGUGAGUAAUGCCUAGGAAUCUGCCCGGUAGUGGGGGAUAACGUCCGGAAACGGGCGCUAAUACCGCAUACGUCCUACGGGAGAAAGCAGGGGACCUUCGGGCCUUGCGCUAUCGGAUGAGCCUAGGUCGGAUUAGCUAGUUGGUGAGGUAAUGGCUCACCAAGGCGACGAUCCGUAACUGGUCUGAGAGGAUGAUCAGUCACACUGGAACUGAGACACGGUCCAGACUCCUACGGGAGGCAGCAGUGGGGAAUAUUGGACAAUGGGCGAAAGCCUGAUCCAGCCAUGCCGCGUGUGUGAAGAAGGUCUUCGGAUUGUAAAGCACUUUAAGUUGGGAGGAAGGGUUGUAGAUUAAUACUCUCAA